UAGACCCGAAACCGGGUGAUCUAUCCAUGAGCAGGUUGAAGCAAGGGUAAAGCCUUGUGGAGGACCGAACCGUCAACGGCUGAAAACGUUCCGGAUGACUUGUGGAUAGGGGUGAAAGGUCAAUCAAACCCGGUGAUAGCUGGUUCUCCCCGAAAUAUAUUGAGGUAUAGCCUCGGGAAUUGAUUAGCGGAGGUAAAGCACUGACAGAGCUAGGGGUCCUACCAGAUUACCAAACUCUAUCAAACUCAGAAUGCCGCUUAAUCGUAUCCCGGGAGUCAGACGGCGGGUGCGAAGGUUCGUCGUCAAAAGGGAAACAGCCCAGACCAACAGCUAAGGUCUCCAAAUCCAUGCUCAGUGGUGAAGGUAGUGGAACCGUUUAGACAGCCAGGACGUUGGCUUAGAAGCAGCCAUCGUUUAAAGAAAGCGUAAUAGCUCACUGGUCUAAUGGCUCUGCGCCGAAAAUGUAACGGGGCUAAGCAUGGUACCGAAGCUUUGGCAAUCUCCUUUGGAGAUUGGGUAGGGGAGCGUUCGCUGCGGGCUGAAGGUGUAUCGGAAGGUAUGCUGGACUGCAGUGAAGUGAUUAUGCUGACAUGAGUAACGAUAAAAUAUGUGAAAAACAUAUUCGCCGAAAACCCGAGGUUUCCUGGGUAAAGGUAAUCUUCCCAGGGUUAGUCGGAUCCUAAGGUGAGGGUGAAAGCCGUAACCGAUGGAAAACAGGUUAAUAUUCCUGUACUUGUUGUGUAGCGCGAUGGAGGGACGCAGGAAGAUAGGCGGGCCGGGUGUUGGAUAUCCCGGUGCAAGCGUGUAGGAAUAUCCGGUAGGCAAAUCCGCCGGACGAAUCUGAGACGCGAGUCCGUGGGCGCAAGCCCUGAAGCCGUUGAGUCUAUGCUGCCUAGAAAAGCUCCUAAGUUUAUCCACAGCAAUCCGUACCGCAAACCAACUCAGGUGGGUGGGAUGAACAAUCCAAGGCGCUCGAGAGAACUCUGGCCAAGGAACUCGGCAAAAUAACCCCGUAACUUCGGAAGAAGGGGUGCUCUCUAGGGUGACAUGUUUAACAUAUGAAGCCCCGGGGAGCCGCAGUGAAUUGGUGGUGGCGACUGUUUACUAAAAACAUAGGUCUGUGCGAAGUCCUAAAGACGACGUAUACGGACUGACGCCUGCCCGGUGCUGGAAGGUUAAAAGGAGGGGUCAGCGCAAGCAAAGCUCCGAAUUGAAGCCCCAGUAAACGGCGGCCGUAACUAUAACGGUCCUAAGGUAGCGAAAUUCCUUGUCGGGUAAGUUCCGACCUGCACGAAUGGCGUAACGAUCUCCACACUGUCUCGGCCAGAGACUCGGUGAAAUUGCAGUCGCGGUGAAAAUUCCGUGUACCCGCAGAAAGACGGAAAGACCCUGUGCACCUUUACUAUAGCUUGACAUUGGAUUUUGGGCCUGCAUGUGUAGGAUAGGUGGGAGGCUGUGAACCCUGUACGCCAGUAUGGGGGGAGCCAUCCUUGAAAUACCACCCUUGCAUGUUUAAGAUCCUAACUUCUUCCGGUUAUCCCGGAGAAAGACAGUGUCUGGCGGGUAGUUUGACUGGGGCGGUCGCCUCCUAAAGUGUAACGGAGGCAUGCAAAGGUUCCCUCAGCCUGAUCGGAAACCAGGCGCUGAGUGCAAACGCAUAAGGGAGCUUGACUGUAAGAGAGACAUCUCGAACAGGAACGAAAGUUGGCGUUAGUGAUCCGGUGGUCCCGAAUGGAAGGGCCAUCGCUCAUUGGAUAAAAGGUACGCCGGGGAUAACAGGCUGAUCGCAUCCAAGAGUUCACAUCGACGAUGCGGUUUGGCACCUCGAUGUCGGCUCAUCACAUCCUGGGGCUGAAGCAGGUCCCAAGGGUACGGCUGUUCGCCGUUUAAAGUGGUACGCGAGCUGGGUUUAAAACGUCGUGAGACAGUUUGGUCCCUAUCU
rnacentral:rRNA from 1 species